GAUGAACGCUAGCUACAGGCUUAACACAUGCAAGUCGAGGGAACGGCGCACGGGUGAGUAACACGUAUCCAACCUGCCCUUUACUCGGGGAUAGCCUUUCGAAAGAAAGAUUAAUACCCGAUAACAAGGAUGGGGAUGCGUUCAAUUAGGUUGUUGGUGGGGUAACGGCCCACAAAGCCUUCGAUGGAUAGGGGUUAUGAGAGGAAUGUCCCCGACAUUGGAACUGGUACACGAGCCAAACUCGUACGGGAGGCAGCAUGGAGGAAUAUUGGUCAAUGGGCGCUAGCCUGAACCAGCCAAGUAGCGUGAAGGAUGAAGGCUUAUGGGUCGUAAACUUCUUUUAUAUAAGAAUAUGUAUUAUAUGAAUAAGGAUCGGCUAACUCCGUGCCAGCCGCCGCGGUAAUUC
rnacentral:rRNA from 1 species